rnacentral:rRNA from 1 species
UGGGGAAUUUUGGACAAUGGGCGCAAGCCUGAUCCAGCAAUGCCGCGUGCAGGAAGAAGGCCUUCGGGUUGUAAACUGCUUUUGUACGGAGCGAAAAGGCUCUCUCUAAUACAGGGGGCUGAUGACGGUACCGUAAGAAUAAGCACCGGCUAACUACGUGCC